rnacentral:tmRNA from 1 species
GGGGACGAUCGGUUUCGACGAUCUGAGUUGAUCAUGGUGAAGCGGGUCGAGGAUGCAGAGUGACCUCGUAUAAAACCCCUCUGCAAAACAAUAAGUGCCGAAACUAAGCGCACUGACUUCGCCCUCGCUGCCUAAGCAGCGACGCGAGUCUGUCAGCCUGAGUCUGCUAUCGACUCAGAUCCUGGCAUCAGCUAGAUAGCCACUGGUUCCAACUCCUCGUCGUGGGGAGUUGGGUCGACAAUUUCCACGACUGGGCCCGUCAGCUGCUUGUCUGUGUGACGGCUGGGGCCGAGAAAAUCUACUAGCAGACUGCACCCGGAGAAGCCCAUGUGAAUCCAGAUCGGACGCGGGUUCGAUUCCCGCCGUCUCCACAG